rnacentral:rRNA from 1 species
UACGGGGGGGGCAAGCGUUGUUCGGAAUUACUGGGCGUAAAGGGCUCGUAGGUGGCCAACUAAGUCGGACGUGAAAUCCCUCAGCUUAACUGGGGAACUGCGUCCGAUACUGGAUGGCUUGAGUUUGGGAGAGGGAUGCGGAAUUCCAGGUGUAGCGGUGAAAUGCGUAGAUAUCUGGAGGAACACCGGUGGCGAAGGCGGCAUCCUGGACCAACACUGACACUGAGGAGCGAAAGCCAGGGGAGCAAACAGG